UGGGAGAAUCUGUAAAGCUCAGGAGGGAUAGCGCCAUCUCGACGAGGUUGUGUUUUAAAUGUUCAUCAGCUGGCGCUAUCUAUCCUGAGUUUCAUGGGUUCUUCCU
rnacentral:pre_miRNA from 1 species